rnacentral:rRNA from 1 species
UACAGAGGGUGCAAGCGUUGUUCGGAAUCACUGGGCGUAAAGCGCGCGCAGGCGGUUGGUUGCGUCCGGAGUGAAAUUUCGCCGCUCAACGGCGAAGCUGCUUUGGAUACGGACCGUCUAGGGACCGGUAGAGGCUGGUAGAAUUGCAGGUGUAGCGGUGGAAUGCGUAGAGAUCUGCAAGAAUACCCGUGGCGAAGGCGGCCAGCUGGGCCGGAUCCGACGCUGAGGCGCGAAAGCGUGGGGAGCAAACAGG